rnacentral:rRNA from 1 species
AGUGAACGCUGGCGGUAGGCCUAACACAUGCAAGUCGAACGGCAGCACAGUAAGAGCUUGCUCUUACGGGUGGCGAGUGGCGGACGGGUGAGGAAUACAUCGGAAUCUACUUUUUCGUGGGGGAUAACGUAGGGAAACUUACGCUAAUACCGCAUACGACCUACGGGUGAAAGCAGGGGAUCUUCGGACCUUGCGCGAUUGAAUGAGCCGAGGUCGGAUUAGCUAGUUGGCGGGGUAAAGGCCCACCAAGGCGACGAUUCGUAGCUGGUCUGAGAGGAUGAUCAGCCACACUGGAACUGAGACACGGUCCAGACUCCUACGGGAGGCAGCAGUGGGGAAUAUUGGACAAUGGGCGCAAGCCUGAUCCAGCCAUACCGCGUGGGUGAAGAAGGCCUUCGGGUUGUAAAGCCCUUUUGUUGGGAAAGAAAAGCAGCAGGUUAAUACCCCGCUGUUCUGACGGUACCCAAAGAAUAAGCACCGGCUAACUUCGUG